GGUUUGAUUUGUUGCAUCCACACCUGCGGCGCCUCUCCAUCCGCCCCGCCCGCCGCCGCUCGCUCGUCGUCCCGGAGCGAAGAUCCGGUGCUCAAGUGAGGAAUAAGCCCCCCUCAAGGGUUGUAUUGGAAAUGGUGGAAAACAAUUUUGGGGGUAUUCCUCUUAAAUAUUGCCAUGUGGAUAAUGGGCGUGUCAGCUUUCUUUCCUUCGACAAAGUUGCUCUUCCAAGCUUGCCCUGAUGGGUUGCAGGCACAUUUGUUAGCGCUCCUUGUUGUCACUGAUCUUGUAAUAACAUACACAGAAAUAGCGAGAUCUUCUAAGAUAUAUUUGCCUCAGCAAUUAUUCUUGUUUGAAGCAUGGUUAGUUUCGUUUUUAUAGUAUGGGUUACUGGCUACCUGAUAGUACAUGAGAUGUUCCAUCUUGAGCUGAAUGGGUCAUGUUGAGACACUGAUUUAUAUAUUUUAUGGAUUCUAUGUAAACCAGAAUUUUCAUGCA